AUACCUUUUGUAUAGGGAGAAUGUUUAAUAGAGACAACCAUACACGAAUUCAUCAUUCUAACCUAUGCGAUAUAACAAUCAUUCGCAAUAUCUUUCGUUUUUUUAUGUGUGUAUCCCCGAUAAUCCUAAGAUCAAAGGGAAGCCCUGAAAAGCUUGCAAUAUGAACAGGACACGUCAUUUCUAUUAUAACGUGCACACGGUAAAAUGUAUCGGUAACGCGUACCUGUUGGGGGAGCAGGUACCAAACACAAAGUAUCAAGGGGAAGAAAAUAGAGGGAGUGGAAAUAAAAUGCACUGUACGCGUGACUGAACAGACGAUCUAUGUGAAAGGAUUAAUAGCAAAAAAGAAGAUGGAUUUUCUUUAAUCUUAUAUUAAAAAAGGGUCAUAAUGUAAUAUGAAGAACAGGAAGCAUAGAGCACCGACUUUAUCUUUCAUUUUGCUCACCUGUCUUCAUGAAUGGCGUGAACUUUCAACCACAACGCCCGGACGCACUUGCGCGACCGAACGUAUCCUAUUGCGUAUUCGAAAUGGUUUUUUUGCGAGGAAGGAAAACCGUACCUGUCGUUCCACAGAACUGCACAGACGGUGAAGGCACCAAAGAGGAGAAAAAAUCGGAGUAACACACUCCGACAAAAUUUGUAUAUUUGUUGUCUGAUGGUUGGAGUGUCGGUUGUCUGCUGCUGUGGUCGCCUUGGCUACGGCAUCACUGACCGCGUCAUGACCAGGAGCGUAACUGGCGUUUUCUUUCUCCUACGCCUUUUUCUUUUUGAUAUUUUUUAAACACCAUCCUUUCAGAAAGAAAUUAUAAUUAAGGAAGUUUGCAUUUUUCUGUCAAUUAAUCUUGUUAUAUUAUAUAAUAUAGAUUUACCUUAAAACUUUUCAUUAUAUAUAAUAUUAUAUUAAAUAA